UUUCCUGUGGCUCAGUUGGAAGAGAAUUGCGCUAACAAUGCAAAGGUCGAACACCUCAAACGAAGCACCUACACCCCCAGUGGUGGCGUUUAGGCCGGACAGAACAAGGUUAAGAAAAAAAAAUGCAAAAGUUGUGGGUUCAAAUCCCAGGAACA